rnacentral:lncRNA from 10 species
GAAAUGAGAGAGCAAUACAAUCUUUACAGUCUUAUACAGAAAAGCAGGAGUGCUAAUUUUGGACUGUGAAGCUCUCUCUCUGGGUGGCCUGGCAACUUUUUUCAUUGUCUUCCAGUGCUAGAGAACUGGCUUUUUAAAGUACAUCAUUAAGAAACUGGCCCCAAAACUGAAAGUGUCUAUUACCCUGAGCAAGAUCAUUGUUAUGCUUAUUCCAUUAAAAAAAAAAAACAAAAAAAGCAGCGAGGGGCAGAAUAUCUCUGCCAGGACCCAGCUCCAUGGUCCAAUCACAACUCUCUAGCAUAUUACAAAAACAAGAGACCCUCAUUCCUGCUGACCCUCUGCCUGUGAGUUCUUACGUACAUUACGUGAUGCUUGCUGCUGUGUGCUGCUCCCGGUCUUUGGAAGAGAAAUCUUAGUAAGUCAUUGUGGAAUAACUGAGGCAAAAUUGUAGCUUUACAAAAAAACUGUGGCAAGAACAGUUAAUGAGAUCUACCUUCUAAACAAAUGUGUAAGUUUUAAUACAGUAUUGUAAACUUUAAGCACAAUUUUAUACAGCAGAUCUAACAUCCAUCUUACAAAAUUGAAACGUUAUGCCCAUUGAAUAGCAACUCCCUAUUUCCCCCUCCAUCUAGCCCCUGGCAACCAUUCUAAUCUCUGCUACUAUGAGUUGACUAUUUUAGUUACCUCAUAUAAGUGGAAUCAGGUCAUUGAUCUUCUGUCGCUGUCUUAUUUCACUUAGCAAAAUGUCCCCAGGAAUUCUUAACCUUAUUUACCAGAGAGAAACAUAAAGAUGGGUGAAGUGAAAUUACCAAGGUCACAAAUCUAGUGAUCAGCAUUAAUUGUCAUUUGACUUUCCUAUUCCAAGAUAAAUCAUCAGUGAUGCAGGCUUCUUGAGGGUGGAGGGGAAGCUAACAUAUUACUUACAGAGCCUCUCACAAGCACUUUUUAUGUAUUGACACAUUUCAUUCCAUAACAAACCUCUAGGACAGGUACUAAUAUUACCC